rnacentral:rRNA from 1 species
GACGAACGCUGGCGGCGUGCUUAACACAUGCAAGUCGAACGGUAAGGCCCCUUCGGGGGUACACGAGUGGCGAACGGGAGAGUAACACGUGGGCGAUCUGCCACGCACUCUGGGAAAAGCCUGGGAAACUGGGUAUAAUACCGGACAUGAGCUCCUGUCGCAUGGCGGGGGUUGGAACGGUUUACUGGUGCAGGAUGGGCCCGCGGCCUAUCAGCUUGUUGGUGGGGUAAUGGCCUACCAAGGCGACGACGGGUAGCCGGCCUGAGAGGGCGACCGGCCACACUGGGACUGAGACACGGCCCAGACUCCUACGGGAGGCAGCAGUGGGGAAUAUUGCACAAUGGGCGAAAGCCUGAUGCAGCGACGCCGCGUGAGGGAUGACGGCCUUCGGGUUGUAAACCUCUUUCAGCAGGGACGAAGCGAGAGUGACGGUACCUGCAGAAGAAGCACCGGCCAACUACGUGCCAGCCGCCGCCGUAAAAC